rnacentral:rRNA from 1 species
CACGUAGGCACCAAGCGUUGUCCGGAUUUAUUGGGCGUAAAGAGCUCGUAGGCGGUUCGGUAAGUCGGGUGUGAAAACUUUGGGCUUAACCCAAAGCCUGCACCCGAUACUGCUGUGACUAGAGUUCGGUAGGGGAGCGGGGAAUUCCUAGUGUAGCGGUGAAAUGCGCAGAUAUUAGGAGGAACACCGGUGGCGAAGGCGCCGCUCUGGGCCGAUACUGACGCUGAGGAGCGAAAGCGUGGGUAGCAAACAGGAUUAGAAACCCCGGUAGUCC